rnacentral:lncRNA from 1 species
ACAAAAAUCCCUGGUGUCUCAUGGCUCUGCGUGAUAGCCCGCGUGCCGGCCAUCGCUGUCUGCCUCUCUGCGCUGACCCAGCGGCGCUGUGACGCAGCCUCUGUGUGUGGUCGCAGCGAGGAGGGAGUGACGGAGCCCACGUGCGGUGCUGGGCACAGCAAGUGCCAUUUGGGGAAGGAGGAGCAGACAAAGAAACUGGAGUUUGCAGGCAUCAGCACUGCUCGCUCCCGGGCACUGACAGGCUUGCUGGGAAGUUGUAGGCGGCCUCUGUGCCCCAGUCGAAGGAGUGAAGAUGCCCGCAUUAUGUCCUUGUUGAGGUCUUCCAUCAUCUCGCUUUGCUGGGGACUGCCUCAGUGUAGCACUGAAAACUCCUGCACCCCAGGACACCCCCCUGGCCUGGGCCCGCCUGGACAACUGGUCUCCCCGCGAGGCUCCCAGGCCCUGCAGGGUCCCUGAGAGGCAGACUCAGCGUGAGGCAUCUCACAGGUGCUGGAGGCCAUGUUCCAGGCCCAAGAGCAACCUCAGGCUGGAAGAGACAGCUGCCUCCCCUCCGCCAAUACCCCUUGGGCGGGAAUGAUUGCAGUGCGUGGAGCGGUAAGGCCAGGACACGUGCGGCAGCCUUGGCUGAGCUGUGCCCUGCUUCUGAGCCCAUGGGCUCCCCAGAACCGACCACCGGGUUUUCCUCCUGCCUGUGUGCGUUCCACAGGCUCUGCCUGAGGUCCUCAGAGUGCGCCCCAGGCCUGCAGCCUCAGCACCACCUGGGAAGUUAGAAAAGCCAAGCUUUGGGCCUCUGGGGCUGGGACCCUGUCCUCCAGGUGAGCUGAUGCUGCUGACCCUGGAGAACCCCUAGGCUAUCGGGGGGCAAAGCCCCAUCCAAUUCGCUCACUCAGCCACAGCCAUCGUCAGGGCCCACACCCCUGGCUUGCGAGGCAGCCGUGGGCAGGACCCCAUUUCACAGAUGAGCAAACUGAUCACUCAGGCACUGGGCUCUGUGCUCGUCCCACAAACAGCCAGGCCGCACUGAGGCUCUGUGUGCUGUGGUGCCUUGACCCGGCUGUCCAGCUCUGCCAGGUCCCCUGGCCCUGCAGCAGAGGGGGGAUGAUGAUUCAGUGGCCUCAGUUUGCCGAUCUGUGGAAAGGAGCCAUGAAAAUUCCAUGAGGAAACGCAAGGCAGGAGGCACCUGGCAGAAAACACCCAGCCUGUGCCGGGGCUCCGUUCCUCCUGGGAGCUUGCAAAGACAGGAAAUUGCCCUGUGCCUUAGUUUACCUAUUAGCACCAAGGGGAGGAGGUCCCACUCUGUGGUCCUGGGCAGGUUCUGAAGCCUUUCUGGCAUAAGCCAGCACUUGUGGUCUUCAGGCCCUGCCUGUGUUGCUCACCUCUCCCAAAUACUCCUCCGUUCAAUGACCGUGCGUUUGCAAAACUGCCAGGCAUGAAGCGAUCCCUUUGUAGC